rnacentral:rRNA from 1 species
AACGAACGCUGGCGGCAGGGCCUAACACAUGCAAGUCGAACGCCCUAGCAAUAGGGAGUGGCAGACGGGUGAGUAACACGUGGGAACCUUCCCUAUAGUACGGAAUAUACCAGGGAAACUUGGAGGCAAUACCGUAUACGCCCGAAAGGGGAAGAUUUAUCGCUAUGGGGAUGGGGCCCGCGUAGGAUUAGCUAGUUGGUGAGGUAACGGCUCACCAAGGCGACGAUCCUUAGCUGGUUUGAGAGAACGACCAGCCACACUGGGACUGAGACACGGCCCAGACUCCUACGGGAGGCAGGCAGUGGGGAAUAUUGGACAAUGGGCGCAAGCCUGAUCCAGCCAUGCCGCGUGAGUGAUGAAGGCCUUAGGGUUGUAAAGCUCUUUUGCC